rnacentral:rRNA from 1 species
UUGAGAGCGGCGGACGGGUGAGUAAUGCCUAGGAAUCUGCCUGGUAGUGGGGGAUAACGUUCGGAAACGGACGCUAAUACCGCAUACGUCCUACGGGAGAAAGCAGGGGACCUUCGGGCCUUGCGCUAUCAGAUGAGCCUAGGUCGGAUUAGCUAGUUGGUGGGGUAAUGGCUCACCAAGGCGACGAUCCGUAACUGGUCUGAGAGGAUGAUCAGUCACACUGGAACUGAGACACGG